CAGCAGCCGCGGUAAUACGAAGGGGGCUAGCGUUGUUCGGAUUUACUGGGCGUAAAGCGCACGUAGGCGGACUUUUAAGCCAGGGGUGAAAUCCCGGGGCUCAACCCCGGAACUGCCUUUGAUACUGGAAGUCUUGAGUAUGGUAGAGGUGAGUGGAAUUCCGAGUGUAGAGGUGAAAUUCGUAGAUAUUCGGAGGAACACCAGUGGCGAAGGCGGCUCACUGGACCAUCACUGACGCUGAGGUGCGAAGGCGUGGGGAGCAAACAGGAUUAGAUACCCCUGUAGUCCCUGUCUCUUAUAC
rnacentral:rRNA from 1 species